rnacentral:rRNA from 1 species
GAUGAACGCUGGCGGCGUGCCUAAUACAUGCAAGUCGAGCGAACAGACGAGGAGCUUGCUCCUCUGACGUUAGCGGCGGACGGGUGAGUAACACGUGGAUAACCUACCUAUAAGACUGGGAUAACUUCGGGAAACCGGAGCUAAUACCGGAUAAUAUAUUGAACCGCAUGGUUCAAUAGUGAAAGACGGUUUUGCUGUCACUUAUAGAUGGAUCCGCGCCGCAUUAGCUAGUUGGUAAGGUAACGGCUUACCAAGGCGACGAUGCGUAGCCGACCUGAGAGGGUGAUCGGCCACACUGGAACUGAGACACGGUCCAGACUCCUACGGGAGGCAGCAGUAGGGAAUCUUCCGCAAUGGGCGAAAGCCUGACGAAGCAACGCCGCGUGAGUGAUGAAGGUCUUCGGAUCGUAAAACUCUGUUAUUAGGGAAGAACAAAUGUGUAAGUAACUAUGCACGUCUUGACGGUACCUAAUCAGAAAGCCACGGCUAACUACGU